rnacentral:rRNA from 1 species
AACGAACGCUGGCGGCAUGCCUAACACAUGCAAGUCGAACGAGACCUUCGGGUCUAGUGGCGCACGGGUGCGUAACGCGUGGGAACCUGCCUUUAGGUUCGGAAUAACUUAGAGAAAUUUGAGCUAAUACCGGAUGAUGUCUUCGGACCAAAGAUUUAUCGCCUUUAGAUGGGCCCGCGUUGGAUUAGCUAGUUGGUGGGGUAAAGGCCUACCAAGGCGACGAUCCAUAGCUGGUCUGAGAGGAUGAUCAGCCACACUGGGACUGAGACACGGCCCAGACUCCUACGGGAGGCAGCAGUGGGGAAUAUUGGACAAUGGGCGAAAGCCUGAUCCAGCAAUGCCGCGUGAGUGAUGAAGGCCUUAGGGUUGUAAAGCUCUUUUACCCGAGAUGAUAAUGACAGUAUCGGGAGAAUAAGCUCCGGCUAACUCCGUG